CUGCGUCCCACUAGGAGGGGGCAGGGACGGGACGUGGGAAAAUGACUACGCGUCACUCGUGAUGUCGCGCAUCCGAUAGGCCCUUUUCAGAUGGCAAAAGGCCUGAGGGUGAAUCUGGGCGAGCUGGUUGAGUCCAUGCGUUUGUGCUUCCUCUCAGUCCACUUUCGCUUACGAUGGGGCGACUCUUGUCCAUCGUCACCUCACCGGGAAACUUUUCCUGCCGGGCCAGUUAAUGGUCCCCUGUACCAUCCCCAUCCUGAGUGACUACUAAGCAGCCGCAGCGACUCGGGGUUGCUCCGUGACCACGUUACUCAGUUAACCUUCUUGUUCCCUGGAGAGGCGGAGCUGAAUGGCCCGGACGGGGUUUCUCCAUGUUUCCCAGGCUGGUCUCAAACUCCUGGACUCAAGCAAUCUGCCCACCUUGCCUCCCAAAAUGCUCCUCCAAAAAAGGAGUGUGCCGCCACACCCAGCCUGAGCAACUUUUGUUUUUAAGGUGAAGGACAUGUUUGCUUCCCUUUCCACCAUGAUUGCAAGUUUCCUGAGGCCUCCCUAGCCAUGCUGAACUGUGAGUCAAUUAAACCUCUUUCUUUUAUGAAUUAUCCAGUCUUGGGUAUGUCUUUAUUAGCAGUGUGAGAAUGGACUAAUACAGAGGUGUGCUUUAUUAAUAAUGCUACUCAUUUGUUUCCUAAUUUGCUUUAAUAGAGAAGAGCAGUUUCCUUGGCCUGGAAUUGUACAAAAGCCAUGGCUUAUCUUUUCAUGGCUUAUCCUAUUGAAAGUGACCUCUAUUGAGAUACUAUUAAUAGUUAUAGCUACAAAUAAAUUAGUUUAAUACUUUGCCUGCAACCAUUUUUUCUUGGUUUCAUUAAAACCUGGUUGUGCACUUGUGAAUAUCUUCCAUUAUAUUUCCCAGAAGAAAGACAGAUUGAGAAUGACUAAUGGAAAGAAUGUGGAAAGAGGCAAAUAAGAAUACCAGUUGGAGAUGAUCUCAAUCAUCUUCAUGAAAGGUGAUGUGAACUUAGGCAACAUUUUUGUAGAUGAGAAGAGGACAAGGAUAUGGAAACGUUAAGUGGUAAAAUUAAUAGAGCAUGCUCAUCAAUAGGAUGUGGAAAAUGAGGAAGAGAGAGUUAAAUAGUAAUAACCUUUUUAUGUGUGACUCACAUUAUAUAUUGAUAUUUAUAAAAAUUCAAUUUCAGGAUUAGAUUUUGGUACAAGACUGCGUGGAGUGGGGUAGGCAAAAGUUAGUGUAAAUAUUCUUUUUCUUAAAAUAACUAUUGAGUACUAGGCUUAGCACUUGGGUGACUAAACAAUAUGUACAACAAACUCCUAUGACAUGCAUUUACUUAUAUAACAAACCUACAUGUGUACCCCUG
rnacentral:lncRNA from 1 species